CACCCUGAGGACAGAGUGAGGCAGUGACACCUCAUCUCCUUGUGGAGGACAGAGCGAUGCAUGGCAGCUUCUAUGACUGGUAAAAUCAGUCCAGUCACCGAGAAAUGUCCAUGAGAGGCGAAAGUGCACCCAAUUGAGAAACAGAGUUCACGACGACACUGCGACUUCCUCAUGCUGGUCCAGUUAGGCCACUUCCCGGAGCAACCAAAGGCCACUUGCAGCCCCUUAGCCUGGGCAGAAGCACCAUGAGAGCCUGGUGCCACCAUCUCUCGUGCCUUGGAGUACCUCAGAGGUCCCCGUCAGGCCCUGUGAAGACAGGGCGGGCAUCCUUGAGGCCCCAAAGGCCCGUUGGACAAGAUAUAAGUUUCUGUCCGGACCCAGGGCUUCUGUCCAGCUGCAAAGAGGAACGACUCUGACCACGUGAUCAUCGGAGUUCCUGUUCCCUGCAGAAUUGAGGUCUCCUGCUCCGCUCAGCGUCCCAGGGUCCCACGGGGCUUCCCACGCCUCUCCGCCCUCUUGUGCUCACUCACAGGCGCCCAGGAGCCGCUGCAUGAGACAUGCUGCCGCCUCUGCUGCUGCCCCUGCUGUGGGCAGGGUCUCUGGCUCAGUAUCCGAGAUACAGGCUGCGCAUGCCAAAGUCAGUGUUGGUGCCAGAGGGUCUGUGCGUCCUCGUGCCCUGCCAGUUCCACUACUACUUUGGCCUCAAGUCUGGCUCUGUGUCCGGCUCCUGGUUCCGGGAGGGCUCUGAAUCUCUCCGGGACUUGCCAGUGGCCACAAACAACCCACAACAGCAAGUGCGGGAGGAGACUCGGGGCCGGUUCAGCCUCCUCUGGGACCCACAGACCAGGAACUGCUCCCUGCACAUCAGGGAUGCACGGAGAGGCGACAGCGGUUCAUACUUCUUUUACAUGCACCCAGAAAGCUCCAGGAGGAAUUUCUAUUGGAACCAGGUCACUGUGUACGUCGCAGCCCUGAAUCACACACCGGACGUCUUCAUGCCGGGGACUCUGGAGUCCGGCCGCCCCAGCAACCUGACCUGCUCUGUGCCCUGGGCCUGUGAGCAGGGGACGCCCCCCAUUUUCUCCUGGGCGGGCGCCUCUGUAUCCCACCUGGACCCCGCUGUCACCAGCUCCCCCGUGCUCACCCUCAGCCCCCGGCCCCAGGACCAUGGCACAGCUCUCACCUGUCAGGUGAUGCUCCCUGGAGCCGGUGUGACUGUGGAGAGGACUGUGCGGCUCAACGUCACCGAUUCUGCCAGGAGCCCCACAGCUGGUGUCUCCCUGGGAGCCGGCUCAGGGCGGACCAUUUACAUUUCCCACAGUGAGGGCUGAGGCUGUGUUUUCAUCCACUGAGUGCACCAACGCCUCUCUGUUAGAUUGGUUUUUGGGUUUUGGUGCCGAGGACUGGACCUGGGGCUGAGCAUGAAGGUUCCCUCCCAGCCUCACUUCCCACCCUCAGAGGGAGCCUUUGGAUCUAUGCCAGCGUUGAGUAACACUUGCUGUCCUCACUACAAGUUUACAAGUUCAUAUCCAUAUGCUUUUGAGAUAGCAUUCACUAGCAUUAAAUUCAGCACUGCUUUCACAUACGCAACAACCUGAGCAUUCCCAAAGAUGUGUGACGCUCGCAACUAUGAAAUUCAGGACUUUUCAUCAGCUGCAGACAAAGCUCCUGCAUGCACAAAGCAGCGGCUCCACCUUCUUCACCCCUGAGGAACACCAGCCCCCGUGUCUCAGUGGCGUUGCCUACACCGGACAUAGCACAGAAGCGGAAUCAUCCACACUGCAGCCUUAUGUGUCUGGCUGCUUCGUGUAACACUGUGCUUGUUAAGGUUCGCCCAUGUACUGGGGGUUUGUAGCUCAUUCCUUUUCAGACUCAGUGACACCCCAUUGCAUGCAUAGACCUCGUUUUGCUCAUCCAUUUAUCAGGUGACGAACCCUAGGCUUGUUUGUACUUUUGGACUGUUGUCGAUGAUGCUCCUAGGAACAUGGGGGUAAACGUUUUGUCUGAGCAGAUUGUUUCAUUUCCCCUGGGCACAUAACUACCAGCAGAAUUAGGAAGAGUCCUGCAGUACAGAGUGUAAGGUUUUGAGGAAAUGCGGAAUUGUCCUGCAGUACAGAGUGUAAGGUUUUGAGGAAAUGCGGAAUUGUCCUGCAGUGUUGGCCUCACGCUGUGUUCCCACCAACCAUGUUCAAGAGGUGUAGCAUUGCAUUCAAAAGCUCCCCACAUUCUUCCCAACACAACUGCUCACCUUUUCACCAAAACAGUGCCCUGCCAGUGGGUAUGAGGGGUCAUCUCCUUGCCAUUUUGCUUAGCAGUAAGCUAAAAACUAAGGAUGAUGGCAAUCUCUUCAUGCAGUUAUGGGCCAUUUGUAGAUCUUCAGAGACAUAUUUUUCGAGUUCUCUGUGCAUGUACUAUUGGGUCAUAGAGGUGCCUUGCAGUUUGGUCUGUGGGGUCCUCUCUGCUUGCUGGAGAGCAGACCUUUAUCACAUCACACUGCAGGGCACUUUCUCCACUUCUUCAAAUACUUGCAGAUAUCUCCUCCAGUUCCACAGAGUCGCCUUUUCACUGUCUUCAUAUCAUCUAUUAAUAAACAAAGGUUGACCUUUUUUUAUAAAAGGAAAAUUACGUUUUCUCUGUGCAACUGCAGAAGAGUUGGAGCGUGUGGUGCAGAGGCCCAGACUGAUGUGGCCUCUUCCUCAGAGAUGAAGGGAGGUGUGCAGGGUCCAUAUCCAAGUUCUACGUGACAGGAGGGACUGGGGUUCUGUUUUGGCUGAAGAAUCCAGCCUCACCCACUUUCCCGCAGGGAAACCAGGCCCCGUGGCCGAGGUGGUGCUGGUGACCAUUGUAGAGGUGGCUGUCAAGGUCCUGCUCCUCGGGCUCUGCCUCAUCUUCCUCAGAUUGAGCUACCAUAGGAUGAAGGUGGCAAGGCCGAAAGUGGACUUGGACGCUGUCAUGAGUUAGUCUCUCUGCACCAGCCUACGGGAUGUGAUUGCAGACACAGUCAUCGUCCACUUCCUGCGCAGUCUGAACAGCCUUGUGUCCCCUCCGCGGACAGAGACAGUGACAAAAGCUAUGUCCGGGCUGGAGGCCUCGCAUGAGCUGUGCCCUGCUGGACUCUCCUUAGGGCCUCCUCUCUCUGCUCCAUGAAGCUCUCACCACAGCCACCAGCCAGGCCCUCCUGGCCCGGAGACUGCACGUGCACUUCCUGCUCCUGAAACGCCCUCCCCCAUUCCUUCCCAUCCAAGUACUGAUCACACUCCAGGCUCCAGUUACAGUGUUGCUCAAGUGUGUGUGCAUGCAUGUGUGGGUGUGUUAGUUCUUCAGCAUCCUCUAGGUUCGGUCUACAAUGUGUGCAUUUACUUCUUGAAUGAUCCAUGGAGGGAUGACAUUCCCCCAUUGUUUAUAGACUACUUUGGUAACUAACACCGAGUUCCUACCAUGUGCCAGGGUAUUUGUGGGUACCAGAGGUGCCUCAAUGGACAGCAUCUUAGUCUCUGUCAUCAAGAAGCCAUUGGUCUAGAGAAAAGAGGAACGGGAAUAAAAAGAAAUAAAUAGGAUGACAUAGACAUAGGAUGGUGUUUGGCACCCGGAGAAAAAGCGUGCAGACACAGAAUCUGGUGGUACGGGGGUCAGUCCCUGUGUCUGGCGUGGUGAGAGGUGAUGCUUGGGCUCACUGGAAGGAGGGGAGGAAGCAGGAUCUGAGUCAUUCCAGGAAGUCAUAUUGGAAGAGGAAAAGGAGGACACGUGGCGUAUUGUUCAGAGGCUGACGCCAGUCUGGAAUCAAAAGAAGCUGGUGUUUUAGGGCAGAGGAAGGCAGAAGGACAGGGAGCAGCAACAAGGCAGGUGCAGAGAGUGGGCGCCCUGCAGGGGGAGGCAGAACCCACAGCCUUUUCAGAGACAGGGCCAUGACUGGAAUUUCACUUUACUAGAAUUGCCCAGGCUGUCCUCUUGAGGACAAGCCAGAGCAGAUUCUGGCAGCAGCUGAGAGAAGGGUGUCUUAGUCAGCUUUCUGUCACUGUGACAAAACACCAGAGGUAAGUAAGGUAUAAAGCUGGACAGUGAACCUUGGCCCUUAGUCUCAGUGGGUCCAGUCCACCAUCAUUUGGCCCCCUUACCUUUGGGCCUGUGGUACCUGUGGCUUCACGGCCCUGGCGCUUCCUGGGGAGGCCUGCUCACCCCAAGAGGGAGCCAGAGUCCCAGUGUAGCCUGCAAGAGGACGCUCCCACUGACCUAAGUAACACCCUCCCAGUAGCUGCUACGGCCUAAAGGUUCUACCACCUCCCAGUUGGACCCCACACUGGGGACCAGGUCUUCAACACGUGGGCCUUUGGGAACAUUUCUGACCCAAACCACAGAAAAUGGGAAGGUCCCAUGGAACUUCCUAGAGGAGCAGACAGCCAGAGGAGCCAGUGAGGUGGUGUGGGGGAGCCGGAGUGAGUCGGGUGAUGUGGAGGGCCAGCUGACAGGGUGCCCUUUUUAUUUUAUUGGUACAUACUGCGGUGUGAAGUGAUUACAGAGCUUUGGAUGAAUCAGGACAGAUCUAUCACAUCUCCAUCAGCUCCGACCCCCUUUCUCACCUCCCCCUUGCACAGGUCCCUCAUUUCCUUCUCCAAGGAGUCUACUCCCUCAUUUCCUAUCAUGUUCCCUUUACUUUGGUCUUUAGAUUAUUUGUAAGAAUGGUUUUUCAUAUAAGACAAAGAAAGUGCUAUUAAACCUUC